CUCAAACUGUACUAUCUAUGCACAUUGCAGUAUUCAUUUAAUGAACUAUGUAGUUUCAUCUUUCAUGUUUUUCAAAGAUCUAUCGAUUUAAUGCAUACGGCCAUAUCUGAGUUCGGUUUAAUUCAGGGUUCUUCCAGCCUCCCUACGUCACUCUCAGUUCUUUCCACUCUCCCAGGAGCUACAGAAUGAGCACCUCUGAGGCCUCUGUGUCAUUC